GAGGAGGAGCCCCAGGAGGUCCACGAGAUGGAUACCCCUGCUACAAACACCCGCUCCAAGAUGAAGGCGAACGGGACCACACCGACAGCCACACUCCCCUAGUUCUGUUGAUGCCUACCAGAUUUAUCUUUUCUUUUUGUUAUCAGUGUUGCGAGUUAGUCAUUGACCAUACAAUCUAUGUGUAUGGCAAUGUAGGUAGAUUGCUUUUUUCCUCGUACUCUUUUCUUUAUAGGCAAUGUCCCACCAUAAACAAGUUUUUUUUUUUUCAAAACCUUUUAUGAUUGAUGAGUGGAUGAUUGAUAUAUGCUUGAGUUAUAUCUUGUUUGGGGGUUUAGUUAUCCUUAACUCUAUUCUAUCUGUUUCCUCAUCUAUGCUACCCUAAACAGAUGCCUCCGAGACGCCGGAACCCUGCCAACAACGCCGACGCAGAAGGGAAUGCUGCCAUCAUGCAGCAGUUAUUGGCUGCCCAGACCCAAUUCUUCCAGAUGAUCACCCAACAGUUGGCCAACAACAACAACAACAACAACCAGCAGCACC
rnacentral:lncRNA from 1 species